ACACUUCCAAAACCCUCUUCUGCCAUUAUCGCCCCAAAGGCUAUUCUUCUUCGCAAGCUUCACUGUUGUAUUUUGGAAAUUUUCUCCCCGUAGGAUUCUUUGAGUUUUCUCUCUAAUGUCGGAUGCAACGCCACUCAACAGACUACCCAGAGGUUUAUCAGCAUCCAAAGUUGAUGAAAGAAGAAGUAAAAUACACAAGGACAAGUUGAAAGAAGUUCAAGUUGAUGAAGCUUCAAAAGAAACCAAAAAUCAACUUGGCUCAAAGAGGAAAAAACCUAUGAAAGAUUCAAGAAACCAAAAGGUAAUUGGUAUUUGUUACAUGUAUUCUGUUGUAUUCAUAUCUAUCUUCUUGUAUUUUUGUACCUUUUUGUAUAGUGUAUUCUGUUUCUUCUACAGUAUGUUUAUGUAUUCAUAUGUAUUUGGUUGUUUCCAACAGUUCAUUUUUAAUGUAA